rnacentral:lncRNA from 1 species
UUUUUUUUUUUUUUUUUUUUUACAGUUUUUGAAUUAAUUUAUUUAGUCAAUUUAGAACAUUAUUCCUUGAUCACAAGAAUCACAUUAUUUCCCUCCCUUCCCUUCCCCCACCCUUUCCGCAUCUGAUGCACAAUUCCACUGGGUAUUAUAUGUGUCCUUGAUCAGAACCUAUUUCCAUAUUGUUGAUGUUUGCAUUAGGAUGUUCAUUUAGAGCCUACAUCCUCAACCACAUCCUUUCAACCCAUGUGAUCAAGCAGUUGUUUUUCUUCGGUGUUUUUACUCCAAUAGUUUUUCCUCUGAAUGUGGAUAGUGUUUCUUUCUUGUAGAUCCCUCUGAGUUGUUCAGGAUCACCGCAUUGCCACUAAUGGAGAAGUCCAUUACAUUCUAUUGUACCACAGUGUAUCAGUCUCUGUGUACAAUGUUCUCCUGGUUCUGCUCCUUUCACUGCAUCCUGGAGGUUGUUCCAGUCUCCAUGGAAUCCUUCCAGUUCAUUAUUCCUUUGAUCACAAUAGCGUUCCAUCACCAACAUAUGUCACAAUUUGUUCAGCCAUUCCCCAAUUGAAGGGCAUCCCCUCAUUUUUCAAUUUUUGGCCACCACAAAGAGCACAGCUAUGAAUAUUUUUGUACAUGUCUUUUUCCUUAUUAUCUCUUUGGGGUACAAACCCAGAAGUGCUAUGCCCUUUGGGCAUAGUUCCAGAUUGCCCUCCAGAAUGGUUGGAUCAAUUCACAACUCCAUGAGCAAUGCAUUAAUGACAUUCUCAGUUCUAAUGACUGUCCCAGCUCUGACAUUCUGUGUUCUAAGCUCUCUCCCAGCUCUGACAUUCUCUGUUCUAAACUCUCCCAGCUCUGACAUCCUCUGUUCUAAGGUCUCUCCCAGCUCUGACAUUCUCUGUUCUAAGGUCUCUCCCAGCUCUGACAUUCUCUGUUCUAAGGACUCUCCCAGCUCUGAACAUUCUCUGUUCUAAGGUCCCUCCCAGCUCUGACAUUCUCUGUUCUAAGGACUCUCCCAGCUCUGACACUCUCUGUUCUAAGGACUCUCCCAGCUCUGACACUCUCUGUUCUAAGGUCUCUCCCAGCUCUGACAUUCUCUGUUCUAAGGACUCUCUCACCUCUGACAUUCUCUGUUUUAAGGACUCUCCCAGCUCUGACAUUCUCUGUUCUAAGGACUCUCCCAGCUCUGACAUUCUAAGGACUCUCCCAGCUCUGACAUUCUCUGUUCUAAGCUCCCUCACAGCUCUGACAUUCUCUGUUCUAAGGUCUCUCCCAGCUCUGACAUUCUCUGUUCUAAGGACUCUCUCACCUCUGACAUUCUCUGUUCUAAGGUCUCUCCCAGCUCUGACAUUCUCUGUUCUAAGGACUCUCUCAGCUCUGACAUUCUCUGUUCUAAGGACUCUCUCAGCUCUGACAUUCUCUGUUCUAAGGACUCUCUUACUUUUGACAUUCUCUGUUUAAGGGACCUUUCAGUUUUAACAUUCAAUGUUCUAAGGACCCUCUUGGCUCUGAUAUUCUGUGUUCUGAGAUUCCCCCCAGCUUCUUAGAACCCUCCCAAUAAUGUGUUCUCUCUGUUUUAUGGUCCUUCAAAGCUCUGAAGGCCAUUCUUGAGCUUUGUCUUUUUUUAGGUGAAGGUGCAGAAGGAGCCCAUUGUAGGCCAAUGAAACAGCCAGACAAAGAACUUACAUUCUAUAUGUGGGCAAUGUGAGUGGGGAAAGAAUCCUUACAAGUGCAGGGCUAGAGAGUACUAACAAUACAGUCUGUGCUCUAAGAUCCCUCCCAGCUCUGCCAGUCUCUGUUGUGAUUCCCUCUUUGCCUUGAUAUUAUAGAGCUGAGGCUCCUCCUGCCUCCAGUAGUCUGGCUUUAGGGUCGCACCUAGGCUGGCUAGCUAGGGCUUUGAAACUGGGGCUGAAGGGAAGGCUGGAUAGUGAAACCAAACCUCCCCAGUCACACCCCUAGAGGUGUCCUACCCCAGGCCAGCCCUGUCCUGCCUCUAGAGAUCUGGCUGCUGAUUUCCCCAGGAGUCAGUGAGGCCAGUGGGGUGGGGGGGAAUGAGUGGGGGGGAGGGGGCUGACAUGGACUUGGGCUUCCUCCCAGUAACAGGCCCUUUUUCUGUGGCCAUCCCAGCAGGCUCUGGCUCCACCUGGGCUCCCUCAGCCAACAGCUCCCGGCUUCUCUUCUGCAUUUCAGGAAAGUGUUCCAGUUUGGCAAUGUAAAUAAAGCAGUUUUCAACCCAGGCA